CCCCUCUCAGGUUCGCACCUGGAGAGUUUCCCGUCCUCUACCAGUCUCGACUAAGGGAAGGAGAGUCAAGCAGAGGCCUGUCCGUUCCAUUCCUAGCUUGGCCAGCGGCUAGCGAGGGGAAGGCCAUCUGCUACAAUC